GGGAAUGUGGCUUAGUGGUAGAGUGCUUGCCUAGCAUGCAUGAAGCCCUGGGUUCGGUUCCUCAGUACCA
rnacentral:tRNA from 1 species